CAAUAAAUGACUCCCUUUCUAAAAAUUGCUUUUGUCGUGUAGCAUUGGAAAUACAAAAAAUAGUAUAUACCAACACACACACGUGCAAUAAAAUAGAAUUCACACUCAAGAUACGGUACCCAACUUCAGAAUUAGAACAUUACAAGUAUUUUUGAAGUUAUCUAUGCAUUCCUCCCUGAUUCCAUCCUUUUGCCUACCACACAGAAUUAAACAAUAUUCUAAAUUUAGUGCUUAUUUUCUCUUCUGUUUAUCCCCACAUAGGGAUAUGGCUCUAAACAAUAUAUUGCAUGAUGUGUUAUUAGCUUUUUAUAAGUAGUAUCAGCUUCAUAAAAACGGUAAUUUUCUGUGACUUUCUUUACUCAGCACUACGAUUCAUCUUCCCUAGUGUGUGUGCUAUUGUUUGUCUACUUUCAUUACUUUUAAUUAUAUGAUUGUGCAAAUAUAUCAUGAGUUAUCCAUCAUCAGAUUGAUGGCUGGUUGUUUCCAGUGUUUUGCUAUUACUAACAGUGCUGCAUAAACAUGCUUGUAUACGUCACCUUAUUUUCGUUACCCAAGUUCAAGUCUGUCUCAAGGCCUUUGUGAGGCAGUCCUGAUCACAGAAACCAGCCCGAGUGUGUCAAACCAAAGGAUUUAAUAUAGGGAAUUGGAUGAAAAGAUAUUGGAAGGAGCAAGGGGGCGGGAUCUGCAAGAGUGAAAGGAAAGGAAGAAUGAUACUCAGAGAUCAGAUGCUACUAAUGCCCCAAGGCUGAAAGUCUCUGAAUCCACCAGCUGCUGCACUGUUGGGUGUGGUGUUCCGGUACAUAACGGAUCUGCUGAGAUGAGCUGCUUUGACCAGGCCUGGGCUUCUGAAAGGUGUUAUCUCUGCAGUGCUGGAGGUAGAAACAGCUUGACCCCGUUAUUUCUCAACCUGCAGCUGCCAGAAACUGCCAGGACCUGCCUCAUUCUGAGAGCCAGAAGCAUAAAGCAUUUCCGUUUCUCUUGCCUACUGAUCUCCUGAAAAUUUCUUCUCCUGACUGAAUCUUACCAAGGGCCAGAUGGCAAAGUAGCACAAAACGUAAUUUUCAGAUUCCUACGCUCUGAUAAAGUAUUAAAGGGGAGAUGUUGGGUUCAGAGAUCGGCAAAUAAGCAACACAAGCCCUCACUUCUAACUGAAAGCAGAAAAUUUAGCUUAAUUGUUCUCAGGUAAACUUGGCCAAGUAGUGAUUUCUCAGUCAUUUCAAAUUUAAUAACAUUCAAAGCCAGAGUUCUUCAAUUCUUUACUUUCUCUCAAUCAUAGUAUUUAAAUUCUAAGGGUGGAUAACUAAAUCCAAGAGUUGGAAAGAGGCCUACUCAUUUGCUCGGGCCACCACAACAAGCAGCACAGGCUGGGUGGCUUAGACAGCGGAGAGUCAUUUUCUCAUCGUUCUGGAGGUUAGAAGUUUGAGAUCAGUGUGUUGGCAGCCUUGGCUUCUUCUAAGUUCUCUCUCCUCGACUUCUUGGCUCAGAGACGGCCGUCCUCCUGCAGUGUCUUCACACGGUCUUUCUUCUGUGUGUGUGUCCCGAUCUCCUCUUCUCAUAAGGCAUCCGUUAUAUUGGAUUAGGACCCACCCACAUUGAUAUCGACCCUGACAUCAGUUUCCCCACGUUAAACCCAGCAUAUAUGGGGUUAAAACCAAAACACUCAUUCCCUGCUUACUCUCUGGCUUCCUGGCUCCAGAAUCCACUAUCCUCCAUGGAGACGGACACCGUCAAGGACAAGCACCUGGACUAUCUCCUCCCACAAAGAGAUACAGACUGGUGGGAAAGCUGCUGACCAGCAAGGUCACAGGCUUCCUCCUCUCUGUAAAUGUCUCAAGGCCGAAGACAGGCUGGUUGGGAAAGCUCCGACCAGCAAGGCCAUAUGCUCCCCCUCCCCUACCUAAAACCCCAAAUAGAAACCCUUCCUUUUAGCUUUUUGGGGAGUUUGGGAUUUCAGCGUUAGCUGCCCUCUCUCCUUGCUCAGCGCUGUGCAAAAAUAAAGUUCCUACUUUCUUCCACCACCCCCGGUGUCAGAGAUUGGCUUGCUGCGCAACGGGUGAGGGAACUCACUUCAGGUUCAGUAACAAUUUGGCACCCCAGAUGGGACAAUGUCCCAGGUGGACGUCUCGCCUGUGGCACACCGGCCUCUGGCUAAAGGCCUCUCUUGGAAGCUGUCCUGCAGCUGCCUGAGCCCCUUGUCUCAGGGACAGCCCCAAGUGACUGGCUGCUAGCCAGACGUUGGCCCAUGGCGCUUUUGCUUUGGUGGUGGAAGAAACCAGGUUUAGGACAUAGGAAGACGUCUCUUGUAAGUAGCUGGUAGUUUUUGUUUUUGUCUUUGUGUUAACCUUCUCCAACAGGACCGGCUGGAAAUAAUGGGUACCCUGGCAGCCCUCUGGGCUCCAUUUGUUUUGAAGUCGCCGCGAUGCCCCGGCCAAAUUUUGAGUGAAGAAAACUUUUUUUCUCUAUUCUCUGAAAGAACUAUGACUUGCAACAAUUUAUAAACAAAAUUGAAACAUUUGUCUUUUCCUCCCUAUCUGAGCCCCCCAAAACGCAAAAACUUCUGAUAAGACACAAUUGGAAACAGUGGUUAUAUUACCAAGGCUUUGACUGGAACAUCAUGUUUGAAAAAACAGAUGGGCUUGAGUAUAACAAGACAGCUUUUGAGGAAUGAAGGUUGACAUUCUGGAAUAAAGCCACUUGGAAAUAUUGGCCUGGUACUGUGCUUAUGGGUUCUGUAACCUGGUAAGGUUGAGCAAAGAAUGUCACUCCCUCUGGCAGGUACCAGGAACCUCAAUAUUUUGGGGAACCUCACGAAGAGAGAGAUUCACCCAAAUCUGCAGGUACUGCAGGCAGAAUGUGAUACAGGUCCUUUGCUUGGCUUUCCUUGAGAGGCCUUUAAAGAUCAACCUGAGAUUCCAUAUAAGGUUCCAGCAAAGCAGAUUUAAAAGAGCCUAUAUGAUAAAUUACUAUUCUUGCUAUGCUUAUUAAAUAGUUAAAUAAUUAUGCCAAAUUUAUUAAAACUAUACAUUUUGCAAACCAGAGUGAAAUUGAGGGUGAUUUUAGGGAGGAAGAUUAUGUUUCAAUGGACACUAUAAUACAUGUUUAUAGAUAUUAGACUUUAGUUUUUUCAAUUGUCUUUGAAAUUUUUAUUUUACUUCUGUUAACUGGACUGGAUCUUGAAUUCUUCACCUCCUGAAAUAUCUGGCUAAAAACCUCCAAACUGAGAUUUUCAGGGUUUUUUCCCCCAUUAUUUUCAUUUAGAGUCAUUGAAAACUAAAUGUGCCCUUUUUCUAAAGCCUUACAAACUGAAGCUGGAGGACCUAAUAGAAACUUCAGAGAGAUUCAUGUCUGCUGCUGUGUAAGCCACUCAAAAAGCUACCUGAGUGCCCGAUGACACCAUCAGAGACAUUUCAAACUGCAGAAGAUGCUUCGACCCUGACUUCCAGGACUCUUGAUUGGCUGCCCCCUGGGCUCAGAAACUGGUUUAUAAUUUGCUCCAACGAUUAACCUCGUUUUUCUCUUUUUGUUUCUCUAGAAAAACUUCGUAUUAAAUACCUGGUUACUUACUUACAUGAUACAGGCCCACCUUCAGGAGCCCACCAGCAUCACCGCCUUAUUAAAAGACUGGUUCAAUGAGAUGAAAUGACCUAUGCCCCAUUUCAGCAGGAAGUAGCUAGAUCCGUCGCCGCCCCAAAUCCCUCAAGAUUGAGGGAGGACAUAAAAUAGGGGGGAGUUGAUAUCGACCCUGAUAUCAGUUUCCCCACAUUAAACUCAGCAUGUAUGGGGUUAAAACCAAAACACUCAUUCCCUGCUUACUCUCUGGCUUCCUGGCUCCAGAAUCCACUAUCCUCCAUGGAGACAGACACCGUCAAGGACAAGCACCUGGACUAUCUCCUCCCACAAAGAGAUACAGACUGGUGGGAAAGCUGGUGACCAGCAAGGUCACAGGCUUCCUCCUCUCUGUAAAUGUCUCAAGGCCAAAGACAGGCUGGUUGGGAAAGCUCCGACCAGCAAGGCCAUAUGCUCCCCCUCCCCUACCUGAAACCCCAAAUAGAAACCCUUCCUUUUAGCUUUUCGGGGAGUUUGGGAUUUCAGCGUUAGCUACCCUCUCUCCUUGCUCAGCGCUGUGCAAAAGUAAAGUUCCUACUUUCUUCCACCACCCCCGGUGUCAGAGAUUGGCUUGCUGUGCAACGG
ensembl:lncRNA